CGAUGAUAAGACAGAAAAUUGCCGCUUAAUAUCUGACAAUAAGUAGUUUGCAAAAGUAAAUAGGUUAGCUGAGGUAAAAGCGACCAUUAACGCCAACAGUGUUGAAUUUGGCAAGAAAUUAUGACAAUUGAAUCUGGAUGUCCUAAAUAAAUUGGGGUAUCAGGCGGAGGUGCCCGAGACGGCACGGCAGCGAGGCUGCGGAGAGAGGCUAAAAGAGUAAUCCGAUGAGAAAAAGGACAAUAAAAACAGAAGAUGAGAUUGAUAUAAAAACAAAGGAGUUGAUUAAACAAAUAAGAUGCUGAUAUUCUAUUUUUUCUAUUUGCUUUUGGGCUUUUCAAGAAGAAUCUGAUUACUGGCUGGCUUUGCUUAGCCUGUGGCCCCAUGCCAAAAAAAGCAAAAAAACAAAAAACAAACAGAGAAAAUAGAGCCUUAUUCUUACUUUAAAAUAAAAACUAUUACUUGCUAUGUCCUAAAAUUUUUUUUAAAAAAAAAUACAGAUUAAUGACAAGAUCAGAUGCAAAUCAAAAUCAACGAUAAGGUCGUUACCCCACCCAAAAAUUUGAUUCAAAUUUUUAGUCAUCAUGUUCUCUCUUUUACACCUGUUCCAGUGGGACCUAAAAUUUUGUGCACUGUAACAUUAUCAAAAAAGGAGCUGAGGGCAACUGAUGAGCCCACGUGGCUUCACCAGAGAUCGAAAGCUUAUCGACUCUGUUGUACCCCCUUGUUGGUCUCUAUCAAAACCCCUUAGAGAAAAAGGGACACUUCUUUUUUAAAAGUUUUUGCCAGCUUGUACCUCGGACCCUACAACAGUAACGGCUACCUUUUUCACUCUUUCUCUGCCACGUGACUCUACGAGACUGCUCUUCUCUCUUCCCUUCACUUCUUAUUUGGCGGGAUAAAAAGGAGGGCCCCACUUGUGUCCUUUCCUGGACAUCUUUAACUGCGCCUGUCCUAAUCGUUGACUGAAUAUGUCGGACUUUUCUCUCCGCCCUGUGGUCCCCACACCUUCCCCCCGAGGCCGGCACUAAUGAAGAAGAAUGAGUAAAAUGAGGACAAAUUUGAAAAAAACUAAUGUAACACUGAAUUUUUUUUUUAAAAAAAAAAUCAUAUGCUACCGUUGCACUCGGAAAAUU
rnacentral:misc_RNA from 1 species